rnacentral:rRNA from 1 species
UACGUAGGAGGCCAGCGUUAUCCGGAGUUACUGGGCGUAAAGCGCCCGCAGGCGGUCCACCCAGUUCCCAGCGACAGUCACCGGCUUAACCGGGGAAGGACGAGGAAGACUGGUGGACUUGAGAGCGAGAGAGGGACAGGGAACUCCAGGUGGAGCGGUGAAAUGCGUAGAGAUCUGGAAGAACACCGAAGGCGAAGGCCCUGUCCUGGCUCGUCUCUGACGCUCAGGGGCGAAAGCUAGGGGAG